rnacentral:tRNA from 1 species
GGGCGUAGUUCAAUGGUAGAACACCAGCCUUCCAAGCUGGAUACGAGGGUUCGAUUCCCUUCGCCC